GCAGGCUGAAGUGCACUAUGGGGAUGGCAGUAGAGAUGGAGAGGCCUAGAGAAUUACAGUUGUAUAUUGGCAGCUGAAAACAAGGGCCAAAAAUGGACUGGCUGUGGGGUGAAGCCAUCAGUGUCUACAGCUUCAGCUAUUGCCCGUGUGCAGAUGGUGCUUAAUCUCUCUUGUGCCUUCCAGACCUGCAUUCCAGCCACCUACCAAACCCCUUUCUGUGGAUGCCAAGAAAAGUCUUCAGACCGUGGACAAUGUGCUCUUUGCCCCUAUUAUGGAGAAAGGUGUUCCCUAGGAUGAUGACACAAGGAUUUAAUGAGUAGAAGACAACAACUUAAAACCUCUCAUUUGAGCAUGAAUUGUCUAGGUUAAAGGUAGGCAUUGAGAUCCCAUUAGCUACUGGCACACUUGGGAAAAGAAAUGUACACAUGCACAGACACACUUUAAAGCAAGACUUCAUAAAAAUACAGCGAUGCCUGUUUCUACUCAGACCCAAAAAUGGAAUUAAAGCCAAAACUUACAACCCCUCUACUAAUUAGAGAAGUAAAAAUGUCUUCACCCCAAGUGUCCCAGCACAACGUGAAACCGAAACAAGCUGCCUUUCUUUGGAUUCCACUUAUUUAUUUAUGUUUAAAAGAAUAUUUGAAGAAAAGGACGCCUAGUAAAAGAACAGUUGGAGAAAACAUGGGACACCAUACAUUGGAAGAGAAAUGUAGAUGAAGUACACAGCUACAACAGGGAUAUUUUUUUUCUUGUUGAAACACAUGAUAAUGGGCUAAUAAAAAUCUGGUUACCUUUACAUUUCUUCUCCUCCGUUUGGAAGGUCUGGGCACUUGAGACACUCUGGUCGUUCACAUCAUCAUGGUCCAGAUGGAAUAUUG
rnacentral:lncRNA from 10 species